CACGUAGGGUGCGAGCGUUGUCCGGAAUUAUUGGGCGUAAAGAGCUCGUAGGCGGUGUGUCGCGUCGGCCGUGAAACCUGCAGCUUAACUGUGGGCUUGCGGUCGAUACGGGCAUCACUGGAGUUCGGCAGGGGAGACUGGAAUUCCUGGUGUAGCGGUGAAAUGCGCAGAUAUCAGGAGGAACACCGGUGGCGAAGGCGGGUCUCUGGGCCGAUGACUGACGCUGAGGAGCGAAAGCAUGGGUAGCGAACAGG
rnacentral:rRNA from 1 species